rnacentral:sRNA from 1 species
GCGGCCGCCUGGAGCUCUCGGCCUCGGCCUUCGACGACGGCAACUUCUCGCUGCUCAUCCGCGCGGUGGAGGAGACGGACGCGGGGCUGUACACCUGCAACCUGCACCACCACUACUGCCACCUCUACGAGAGCCUGGCCGUCCGCCUGGAGGUCACCGACGGCCGUGAGUGCUUCCCCCCAGUCCCCCAGCUCCCGCCCCUCGACCCUCGACCGCCGCCCCGGCCCGCGCGCCGCUGACCGCGCCCCCUCCGCAGCCCCGGCCACCCCCGCCUACUGGGACGGCGAGAAGGAGGUGCUGGCGGUGGCGCGCGGCGCACCUGCGCUCCUGACCUGCGUGAACCGCGGGCACGUGUGGACCGACCGGCACGUGGAGGAGGCUCAACAGGUGGUGCACUGGGACCGG